rnacentral:lncRNA from 1 species
CUCCUUUUUUCUUAUUAGUAUUUUUUCAGACUUUUCUCCUCAUUCUCAUUUUUCAAAAAGUUUGACUAAGAUCUGUCCUUUGUCUAUAACAUGACAGGGUUGCUGAGCUACUUGGCUCUGUGUGUGUCCUAGCAGUUUUUUCGGUUUGUUUGUUUGUUUGUUUUUCGUUUGCUUUUUAAGGCCACACCCGCGGCAUAUGGAGGUUCCCAGGCUAGGGGUUGAGUCAGAGCUGUAGCUGCUGGUCUACACCACAGCCACAGCAACGUCGGAUCCAAGCCACGUCUGCGACCUACACCACAGCUCACAGCAACGCCGGAUCCUUAACCCACUGAGCAAGGCCAGGGCUCGAACCCGCAACCUCAUGGUUCCUAGUCGGAUUCGUUAACCACUGAGGCACGGCAGGAACUCCUGCCCUCGCCAUUUGAGGGGAAGUGGCCGUGGUCUCUCUGAACAGCUGCCCCUUCCCUCUGUCCGUCCCCUGGGGUCCGGCUCAGGUCCGGAGACCGACCACUUGCUGUUCUUCCGCAGGACUUUUCCUCUUUGUGGUUCCGAAAAUGGGUCAUUUCUCUUGUCCUGUUUUCAAGGCGGUGAAGCCCUCCUCUGCGGCCCGUCUUUCGGGAGGCCUGUCGAGCGCAUUUUUCAUUUGGGUCCAGGGUUUUUUCAACACGAGGGUCUCCAUUUGUUUUCUUUCUGAAGUUUCCACUUCGCGGCCAGCAUCACCCCCACUUCGCGGCCUUCUUGACACUUGGCUGGCGAAUCCUUUCAGGGGAUCGUGCCUGAGACGUGCAGAGACGACUCGUCCCAUCUUGGCCUGGAACGUGCCGCGUUUGCUCCAGGAGGCGUUGCAGUCACUGCCGGGUCCUCAGCGCUGUGUGGACCUGUCUUCUCGGGCCCGGCCGCCAGCCAGAGCUGUGGCCGGUCCAGUUUUUCAGGAGCC